AUUGAACGCUGGCGGCAGGCCUAACACAUGCAAGUCGAGCGAGCGGCGGACGGGUGAGUAAUGUCUGGGAAACUGCCUGAUGGAAGGGGAUAACUACUGGAAACGGUAGCUAAUACCGCAUACCAUCAGAUGUGCCCAGAUGGGAUUAGCUAGUGGGUGGGGUAAUGGCUCACCUAGGCGACGAUCCCUAGCUGGUCUGCGAGGAUGACCAGCCACACGGGAACUGAGAAACGGCCCAGCUUCUUACGGGAGGCAGCAGGGGGGAAUAUUGCACAAGGGGCGAAAGCCUGAUGAAGCCAUGCCGCGUGUGUGAAGAAGGCUUUCGGGUGGUAAAGCACUUUCAGCGGGGAGGCGUUACCCGCAGAAGAAGCACCGGCUAACUCCGUGCCAGCAGCCGCGGUAAUAC
rnacentral:rRNA from 1 species